GUAAGCUGAUGUAUAGGGGCUGACGCCUGCCCGGUGCUGGAAGGUUAAGGGGAAUAGUUAGCGCAAGCGAAGCUAUGCACUUAAGCCCCAGUAAACGGCGGCCGUAACUAUAACGGUCCUAAGGUAGCGAAAUUCCUUGUCGGGUAAGUUCCGCCCCGCACGAAUGGCGUAAUGAUUUGAGCACUGUCUCGGCAAUAAAUCCGGUGAAAUUGUAGUGCAAGUGAAGAUGCUUGCUACCCGCGGUUGGACGGAAAGACCCCGUAGAGCUUUACUGUAGCUUAGCAUUGAAUUUCGGUAUUGUCUGUACAGGAUAGGUGGGAGACUUAGAAGCGAGGGCGUCAGCUUUCGUGGAGUCGUCCUUGGGAUACCACCCUGACAGUACUGGAAUUCUAACUGGAGGCCAUGAAUCUGGUCACAGGACAUUGCUAGGUGGGCAGUUUGACUGGGGCGGUCGCCUCCUAAAAGGUAACGGAGGCGCCCAAAGGUUCCCUCAGCGCGGUCGGAAAUCGCGCGUAGAGUGCAAAGGCAGAAGGGAGCCUGACUGCGACACAUACAGGUGGAGCAGGGACGAAAGUCGGGCUUAGUGAUCCGGUGGUUCUGUAUGGAAGGGCCAUCGCUCAACGGAUAAAAGCUACCUCGGGGAUAACAGGCUGAUCUCCCCCAAGAGUCCACAUCGACGGGGAGGUUUGGCACCUCGAUGUCGGCUCGUCGCAUCCUGGGGCUGUAGUCGGUCCCAAGGGUUGGGCUGUUCGCC
rnacentral:rRNA from 1 species